GCCAGUGUAGUGCAGUGGUUUGAGUGUUGGACUGGGACACCUGAGACCAGGAUUUAAAUCCCUGUUCUGCCU